rnacentral:rRNA from 1 species
GACGAACGCUGGCGGCAUGCUUUACACAUGCAAGUCGAACGGUAACAGGCCGCAAGGUGCUGACGAGUGGCGAACGGGUGAGUAAUGCAUCGGAACGUGCCCAGUCGUGGGGGAUAACGCAGCGAAAGCUGCGCUAAUACCGCAUACGAUCUAUGGAUGAAAGCGGGGGACCGUAAGGCCUCGCGCGAUUGGAGCGGCCGAUGUCAGAUUAGGUAGUUGGUGGGGUAAAGGCUCACCAAGCCAACGAUCUGUAGCUGGUCUGAGAGGACGACCAGCCACACUGGGAAUGAGACACGGCCCAGACUCCUACGGGAGGCAGCAGUGGGGAAGUUUGGACAAUGGGCGCAAGCCUGAUUCAGCAAUGCCGCGUGCAGGAAGAAGGCCUUCGGGUUGUAAACUGCUCUUGUACGGAACGAAACGGUCCUGGUUAAUACCCGGGGCUAAUGACGGUACCGUAAGAAUAAGCACCGGCUAACUACGUGCCAGCAGCCGCCGUAA